rnacentral:lncRNA from 1 species
GGUAUGUCAAAGAACUCGUUCAACAUUUGCAACAUGUCCUGUGGCUGAGCAUUCUUGAAACGAUGGCUGAACUCAUCAUUCAUUACCAUCAGUAUAAUACAAUGAACUGUAGUUCGAUCAUUGAGCCACUUCUGAUAAGUGUCUCUGACCAUACUACACACGUUCGGAGCUAGCUCUUCGGGUAUUGGAUCUUGUUGGAUCUGUC